UACGUAGGGGGCAAGCGUUGUCCGGAAUCAUUGGGCGUAAAGCGCGCGUAGGCGGCCCGGUAAGUCCGUUGUGAAAGUCAAAGGCUCAACCUUUGAAUGCCGAUGGAUACUGCCGGGCUAGAGUCCGGAAGAGGCGAGUGGAAUUCCUGGUGUAGCGGUGAAAUGCGUAGAUAUCAGGAGGAAUACCUAUGGCGAAGGCAGGUCUCUGGGCAUUAACUGACGCUGAGGAGCGAAAGCAUGGGGAGCGAACAGG
rnacentral:rRNA from 1 species